GCCAACUGGAGAACUCGUUCAUCGGCCCUAGCAUCAAUCAUUGGAUGAUGCCAGUAAUCACACGAGGUAUCCCAAGCUUUGUAAAUGUACUGCAAAAUUUAUUUUGAACAAUAAAUAUUAGACUAUAAAAUAGUUAAAAUUUAAAUAUAUUUAGUAAAGAUAUACAGUACUUAUAUGCGGUUCUAAAUGUGGAUGACCAUCGUCCAAUCGAGUCAGAGCUGUGAGCCGGG
rnacentral:lncRNA from 1 species